rnacentral:rRNA from 1 species
AUAUUGGACAAUGGGGGAAACCCUGAUCCAGCAAUGCCGCGUGAGUGAAGAAGGCCUUAGGGUUGUAAAGCUCUUUCGCCCGCGAAGAUAAUGACGGUAGCGGGAGAAGAAGCCCCGGCUAACUCCGUGCCAGCAGCCGCGGUAAUACGGAGGGGGCUAGCGUUGUUCGGAAUUACUGGGCGUAAAGCGUACGUAGGCGGAUGCGCAAGUUGGGGGUGAAAUCCCGGGGCUUAACCUCGGAAUUGCCCUCAAAACUGCACGUCUUGAGACCGAGAGAGGUAAGGGGAAUUCCUCGUGUAGAGGUGAAAUUCGUAGAUAUUAGGAAGAACACCAGUGGCGAAGGCGCCUUACUGGCUCGGUACUGACGCUGAGGUACGAAAGCGUGGGGAGCAAACA